GAUGCGGUGGCGCAGCGGUUAAACAUGUUUGACUCGGGAUCGAAAGGUCCUGGGUUUGAAUCCUUGCCACAGCC